rnacentral:ncRNA from 2 species
CUCUUAUCAAGAGAGGUGGAGGGAAAAAGGCCCUAUGAAACCCGGCAACCGGUGCUAUGCACCAUGGUGCCAAUUCCUGCAGUUAUAAUCUGCAAGAUAAGGG